AUCUAGCUGACGAGUCCCAAACAGAACGAAACUCCUAUCCUGAAU
rnacentral:hammerhead_ribozyme from 1 species